CCUGGCCCAAGGCGGUUACCUUGGGCCUCAGAUUUUAGACGGCCUCAAAUUUUUGAGGCCCAUAGGGGAUGGAAAAAAUAAAAAAUAAAAAAAAGUUAGGGCAAGUUUCAGACGACACAAUCUGCUUCGACACUCCGCAAGGCGCAGCCUCCGCUAUCUCCUCAGGUGACAAGGAUCUACUUUAACCAGCUUAUUAGGAGCAGAACAAAACCAUUACUUUUGAAGUAAGAUUAGGAACAUAGUUCUGGUUCUCAAUCUUCAUCUCUGGCAGUUGACAUUCCUGGUAAUCAAGUUGUAGACGCAGAACUUGCACUUGCGGGGUGUUGUGUUUGCCCUUUUUUGACCUUCUUGUUCUAUUUGGAAUUGGACGAUUGCAUGACGGAGUUGAGUCCCUGGCAAAGUAUGGGCAUGUGGAUUGCAUGUUUUUUUUUUUAGGGUUUUUUGAUUGUUGGCUUCUCAAAGUACGUGCUUGAAUUUUAUACAAUGGACAAUGAGGUGGAGGAAGUGUGAAAAAUUGGAAGUCAACUUGCGCCAGGAAUUAACGAACAAUGUGAAGAUUGAUAUAUAUUUCUAGAAAAUAUUGAAUUUUCUUUUUAAUUUUGGCACGUUAAACAAUUAAUGAUGAAUUGUAAAUUAAUGCCUUACUCUUUUGAUAUCUUUAAUGGUGAAUUUAAAUAUGGAUUGUUUUUGGUAUUGGCAUUAAGUGUAAAUUUUUAGCAUUUUAUAUUAUUGUUUAGUUGAAACUGUGGCCAAGUUAUAUAUGUGAAUGGUUGGGUAGUAGAGCGCAUUUAUUAUAUAAAU